rnacentral:lncRNA from 1 species
GUAAAUUUUAAUUUUAAUUCAAAUUAAUCAAUCGAUGGCAACUUAUUGGGACAAUAAAGCCCUCCCUACACCUAUCCUUACCCUACCCAUUACUUUUUAUUCAACUUUUUGAUUAUAUUUCUUCAUUUUCAUUUAAAUUAAAUGCUUUUCUGAUAUGAUUUGAAAUUUGAAAAGAUAAAAAAAAAAGUUUGCCAAAAUGCUAAUUCGAGCCCAUGUCGAUCGCAUCAAAAUGAACACGUCACACAUCUUACCAACUGCCCCACUGGAGCUAACAACUGGUGGUUGUCUUUUGUAAUGUUCACUGGCUGACUCACACGUUGGUGGGCAGAGUUAGUCUAAAUAUCUUCAGCCAACAAGGUGGGCUAUUUGCACUUUUAGUGUAAAUAGACACUCCGGAUAAAAUUGCCCUCACAAAUUACCUUCAUUUUUCCCUAAUGGAACAGUUCAUUUUUUAACCUGGCUGUAACUGCACUAUGUGGCUGAAAAGAGCACCUUUCUCCAUUCACAAUGUCAUUCAUAUUUUUCUUAAUUUAAUGUAGUUGGGGUUGAUGCAUACAAAGUAUGAAAACUGAGUGUUUACUAUUGUGCUUUUGCAUUGACAUAAUAUUUUCCUAUUUUGAUACUGUAAAGCUGCUUUGACACAAGCAAAGCGCUAUAUAAAUUAAGGUGACAAAGAAAAAAAUAUUUAAUCUGAAUGAAAACAUAACUUACAUUAUCUCAACAGGGAGACUUCAUUAAGCUCAAAUUAAAGUAGGAUGUAUGUAAUUUGUUAUGUUACUAGUCUCACCUCAGCUGUGAGAUGUAGGGCAGACACUGCAGGAAUCCCUUCACUUCACUCUCUUCAUCUGUGCAGUCUCUCAGCUCUACUGGUUUCUUCUCUGUUUGGAGUUUCAGCACUUCUAGGAGGAUGGAGCUCUUUCUCUCUGAGAGAUCUAUGCUCCAGACUGCAGGAGCUGACUGAUAAAUUGGCUGUAAUGCUGGAAGAACACUCCUGCCUGUUUGAGUCUCAUAGUCCUUCACAUGUGAACACAGAUCCAGCAGGAAAUCAGUUCUCUCAUAAUUCACAGAUGAUAGCAGUUUCUUCACAGUUUCUUCUAUUGUCUCUUUCUGAUGGAGUGCAGCUUGUAGACACAAAUCCAGUAUGA